ACAGCCGAUCACCACUACCACCACCACACCAUUGCCACCGCCAUGGAUCGCUCGCCUGCCAAGUUCGUCUUGCUCCUUAUGGCAGCGGCGACCUGGAGCUUCUUCCUCGUCGGCGACGCAGGCAAGGUCCAGCCUAGCUGCGUAGGGCGCGAGAGGGACGCGUUGCUGGCCUUCAAGCAAGGCAUCAAUGAUACCUACGACUACCUCGGGUCGUGGCGACAAGAGCGCCAAGAUUGCUGCCAAUGGGCAGGCAUCACCUGCGACAACGCAACCGGCUAUGUCGUCAAGCUGGAUCUUGGCGGAAGAGACUAUUUGGUCGGCCAGAUAAGUCCUUCCUUGCUUUCUCUAGAGCAUCUCGAAUACCUUGAUCUCCACCACACUGGGUUGCGUGGCCCUGAUGGCCGUGUUCCAGAGUUCUUGGGUUCCUUAAAGAACCUGAGGCAUCUUGAUCUGUCUUACACGUCUUCCUCCGGUAUGGUGCCUCCUCAGCUAGGAAACCUGUCAAAGCUGGAAUACCUUGAUUUAUCCUACAUAUAUUUCAACAAUAUGAGUAUGGUCUCAACAGACAUCUCAUGGUUAACCCGUCUACCUCUGUUGGUGCAUCUUCAUAUGAGUUAUAUCAAUCUCAGCUCAAUAGCCGAUUGGCCUCUUGUUGUGAAUAAGAUUCCAUCUUUGAAGUUGCUCAGUCUUUCUGAGUGCUCGCUUUCAAGUGCAAACCAGUCCCUCACACACCUAAACCUCACAAAUCUUCAGUACCUUGAUGUUCGUCCAACAGAUUACAGGGCUUGAGCUUGAGCAGCAACAAUAUGGUUGGAAUUUUGCCAAACAGCGUAGGGCACUUGACCAACUUAUCUUGGUUGGGCCUUUCUUAAAAUAACAUUACUGGAGCAAUACCGCUAGGCAUUGGGAAUCUCUCUUGUUCAAUACAACUUGAUCUUUCAAACAACCUUCUUAUUGGAGCUAUACCGCUAGGGUUGGGAAAUUGCCCUUCUAUUAAUCUCUCCAAUAACAACCUUAGUGGACCUAUACAACUAGGGAUAGAGAGUUGCACUAGAUUACAACACCUUGACCUUUCUUACAAUAGCAUUCCUGGACCUAUACCACCAAUGUUAGGGAACUGCACCAAAUUAUAUUACCUUACCGUGUUGAGUUAUAUCUUGUACUCAAGUAUAAAUAGCUUGUUGUCAGAGGGUCUAAAGUGUAAAAUGGUGUACUCUUGAUUAUAUAAAAAAAGGAAAGGAAACGGAGAGAACUCUCCAGUACGCUCCUAUCCAAAUCCUAAGCACACGAACCAUGGAGUCUUGCUAUCCCCUAGUUAGUGUUCACUAAUCCCUACAUGGUAUCAGACCACGGCGGUCCGGACGGAGCUUGGUGUGCGACAUUUGACGGCAGCGUGUUCAAGUACAGCGGAUCUGAGGAUUUCUUUUGGGGAAGAACGACGGGGAGGUCGGGAGGCGGCGCUCCGGAUCUGAGGAUUUGAAGUCAGGAAGAAUUCUUGGGACUGGAACUGAAUAUGACGGCCUCUACUACCUCGACAACGCAUCGACUUCACUUGCACUUAGUGUGAAAUUUGUCUCCGCUACAGAUGAGUUGUUAUUACUACAUUAUAGACUUGGGCACCUAUCGUUUCAGUCACUAGGCCGCAUGUUUCCCUCACUUUUGGCCUCCUGUUGCAAAGAGCAACUCGUAUGUGAUGUAUGUGAACUAGCAAAACAUACGAGAACUAAUUAUCCUAGCAACAGUGAGAGGAGAAAUGUACCUUUUGAAGUAGUUCAUUCAGAUGUUUGGGGGCCAGCAGUUGUAACCUCUCUAUCAGGAGAACGGUGGUAUGUAACUUUUAUUGAUGAAUCUAGUCGAUAUA